GUCGUGCGUAUACUUGGCCCAUCUGGUUUAGUUUCUCAAUUGGCUCUGUACGAAAUUACUCUCAAAUCUCAAUUGCUCGAGCGAAUCUCUCAGUGAUUAAUCUCUCAGCACUCAAUCUCUCAGCGCUCAAUCCCUCAGCGCUCUAUCAAUCUCAAUCUCCCAGGUGCUCAAUUUAAUCGCUGGGUUUGCUGCAAAACUAGGGUUCUUUUUGUCGAUUGGGAAAUAUCUCUAGGUCUGCUGCUGCUGGGUUUGGUUACUCUGAAGAUGGACUUCGUAUACAUGAUUAUCAGCUUGUAGUUCAGAAUGUUGUCAAGAAAGAUUCUGGUAAGUGUCUGAUAGAGUCGAUUUGUAAUUUUUUAUUCCUAGACUAACUUACUGAUAAGGAUCAGGAUUUUGCCUUACGUAAUCAGAAGAAUACAUAUGUAUCGAUUUGAAUAAUACACACUUAAAUUUAUGAAUACUAUUUCAAGAGCCAUCUUGAUGUGCUUUAUCCUGAUCUGAAACACCCUGUGCAAGAUGGCUCCAAACUUUUGACUGUAGUAAGUCACCACGACAGCCAAGGCCAAAGAAAUCAGAGCCUGAUGAUAGUAAAGGGGUUGACCCAGUUGGUUUCCUUGCUAAAUUUAACAUUUUAGAUAAACCCUUUGCUCAAUUCCUCCGAGAAAGGUAUUUAAAUAUUUUCACAUUUCAGCAAAUACGUCGUAUUGUGCUUUUUAAUCAUUUCUUACUUUUGAUUGACAGGCAUAAGUCUUUGAAGGAUUUAAAAGAUGAAAUUCUCAAACGCCACAUGAAUUUAAGUGAGAUGGUUACUGGAUUUCAGAUAUUGGGCAUGCACCAGAAUGUUCAUCAUCGGGUGGAUUUUAUGGAAUGGGCUCCAGGUGCUCGGUACUGUGCCAUUGUCGGUGAUUUUAAUGAGGAAGAAAGGCAUGGUUGAAGAAGUAUAUACCUGGUAUUCCUCAUGGCAGCAAAUACAGAGUGUAUUUUAACACCCCUAGUGGACCUAUUGAAAGGGUUCCUGCUUGGGCUACUUACGUGCUUCCAGAUGCAGAUGGAAACCAAGCUUAUGCAGUCCACUGGGAACCGUCUCCUGAGUGUGCAUAUAGUUGGAAACACGAACAUCCCAAAGCACCAAAAGCUUUGCGUAUCUACGAGUGUCAUGUCGAAAUUAGUGGGCAGGAGCCAAAAGUUGCCUCUUUCAAUGAUUUUAUUGAGCAUGUCCUCCCCCACGUUAAAGAAGCUGGAUACAAUGCAAUUCAGUUGUUUGGAGUUGUUGAGCACAAAGAUUAUUUUACUCUUGGAUACAGGGUGAUUUGGAUUACAAGUUGUUUCUUUCUUUACUUUGUUCAUGGAUUUUGUGCAAUAAAUCACACACUUUACAACAUUCACUCUGAACAACAGAUAGUUGUUAUAUUUUCUUUUGGAGCUAUAAUUUAUUAUAUGAAAAGUGUUUGCCAUCGAGUUUCAGACAGGAAACCCUUCUGCAUAAACUUUCCAUCUCUUAAAAUAGUCAAAUGUAGCUUCUAUUAUAGUUUUAACUAAUAUUCUUCUAAAAGCACGUAUAUUGAUCACUUGAUCAUGUAUAUAUGGUUUAUUUAGCAGUUCCUAAGAGCAUCUCCAAUAGACUCUUAGCUCCCUCCUCAUAAAUAUUAUAAAAAAAUAAUUCCUAGUAAGAUAGUGUAGGUUCAUCUCCAACAAUACUCUUUAAACUUCCUCCUUAACUAUUAUUUUAGAAUUAAAAGUACAUUGAAGUUAUAAGAGGACAAAUAGGAAAGAGAGAGAAAGAAAGUGGAGAGAUUAUUAUAGUAUAAAAUGUAAGUUAAGAGCUAGUUGUGGCUCUUAAAAAUAAAGAAAGAAGCGGGGCUCUUAAUGUUUUGAGGUGCAACUAAGAGUCUAUUGGAGUUGCAUCUUCACUCCUCUUCUUUAUAUUUUGAGUUAAGAGCUCAAAUAAAGAGCCUAUUGGAGAUGCUCUAAAUUCAAUAUCUAUUGAAAACUAUAAUGUCCACAAUCACACUGACUGCCAAGUAUUUUCCUCAGUGUAGCACAGAACAAUUCUUUGUAUAUGUAAUAUUAAAUUAAUUUUAUAUAUAAUAAUUCUACUGCUACUUUAGGUGACAAAUUUAUAUGCUGUUAGCAGCCGCUAUGGCACACCUGACGACUUCAAGCGUUUGGUGGAUGAAGCACAUGGUCUUGGACUCCUUGUAUUUCCAGACAUUGUUCAUUCGUACUCUGCUGCUGACGAGAUGGUUGAAUUGUCCUUGUUUGAUGGUUCAAAUGACUACUACUUUCAUACUGUGUCCUCAACAAGAAGGAGGUACAGAGUGCGGUUUAUUUGUUAUGAGGUACAUGCAUGAAAAUAUUUCUGCUUUCUCAAAAAAAUCUUAAUACCAAUUGGAAAGAGGGGCUAGGCCUUGGUUCAAGAAGGUAUUCAAAGAAGGAACUUAAUGAGGUUCAGGAACUGUGGGCUGAGUUUUUUACAGUUGAAUGUCUAUAAUCAGAUAGUUGAUAGACUUUAAUGGCCACUACAAGCUUUUUAGUGGUAAGGACGAGAGCGAAGACUGAGGCAGCUGACUUGUUACUACCUAUUGAUUUCAUAAUUUUUAGUGUUGACAUGUAAUUUGAGAAGAAGAAUUAUGGGUUGUAAUACAUUUAGUUUUAAUGUACAUUGAUUAAUUCCCAUUUAAGUUUAAUUAGUGCUAUUGACUUUGAGCAUU